rnacentral:lncRNA from 1 species
AUGAGAGUCACUGGGAGGGGAAGAGCUUUAUCAGCUAUCAUGCUAACCAGGGAGGUUUCUUGGAGUUCCUCUCAUGAGUCCCUCAAUUACUGGGACUAGGAGGAAUUCAGAAUGUGCUCUCACAGGAGAGCCACAGAACUUGGGUCAGACAUUGAUUUUUCUGGAAGUGGGGAGAUGAGUAGGUUUAGGUGCAAGGCUCCAACCUAGAAAAUUAGCCCUAUGUAUGACUUCAGGAAGACCCCUUCACCGCUCUUUGGUUUACCAUUUAAUUCUGUAAAACGUGGUUAAGGAUAUCUUCCUCACCUGCUUUCCAGGGUUGCUGUGGCGAUAACAGUGUCAUAAUAGAUGCUAAUUGCUUUGGAAAGUAAGAGGUAUAAGCGAACAUAACAAUGAUAGCUGAUGUUUUCAUGUAUCUUCAAAGCCUGUUAUUCCCAUUUUACAGAUGAAUCUGAAGCACAAAGGUUAAAUGACACAGCUAGUUAAUGCCUGGUACUACUUUUGAACUGAGAAUUUUCUGACCCCAAGGCUAAUGUUUUCUCCACGCCACCAUCGAAUUACACCAAACAGAAAAGAGAACUAGACCAGGAUUCAGGAGAGCUGGAUUUGAAUUUGCAACUCUGGGGGGGAGAGAGGUACUUCCUCCAGGAAGAUGAGUUUCUGGAGACAGGAGGGAAGUUCCAGUGAUUAACCAUGUGGAAAAUGAAAUAUCAAGAUGUGUACUACCUUACCCCACAGGAUUACGAUUACAUGACAGUUAAUUACAUGACAAUAUUUUAUAUUUGUUUUCUGACAUUUCGCAAUUCCUGUUCUCUGCCUCCCUCCUCAAGAAGGCAGAGUCAUCCAAGUCCAGUGGUGAGGCAAAAGUCAAGACAACAGGUUGCAAUGGAUGACCUCAUCAUCUUCAAUGUCUGACUAAGCUCCUCCAC